AAACACAACAAGGUCUUCUUG
rnacentral:sRNA from 1 species